rnacentral:rRNA from 1 species
UACAGAGGGUGCGAGCGUUGUUCGGAAUUACUGGGCGUAAAGCGCGCGCAGGUGGCCUUUUAAGUCCAUCGGUGAAAUGCCGGGGCUCAACCCCCGUUGCAGGCCGAGGAUACUGGGAGGCUGGAGACACGUAGAGGCAAGCGGAAUUCCGGGUGUAGCGGUGGAAUGCGUAGAGAUCCGGAAGAACACCGGAGGCGAAGGCGGCUUGCUGGGCGUGAUCGUGACGCUGAGGCGCGAAAGCGUGGGGAGCGAACAGG